rnacentral:lncRNA from 1 species
GUUCUGCAAACAUGUUUAAUGCACUUAGAUUACACUGAGGGAGAGGGGGUGGGAAGGAAACCGUUUCAGUGAGUCACUGAAAAAAUUCUUACAAAAGUCCUGGCCUGCCACAGUGCCCAGGAACCAAGUCGAUCUGACAAUAGAAACUACUACAAAAGAUUAAAAAAGCUCCGCUUAAAGCAGCUUUCAGAUUUUCGUAACAAAAUGAGAAGUUGAGUUACAGUAUCCUGACCCAAGGCAGGACUUAGCACUUCCCUUUGGGCACAAGGUUCUCUCAACCAGAGAGGAAGAGCCUUCUUAAAAAGCAGAAAAGGGGGACUCCUUCACAGUAGAAUGUUGAGAGUUCAGCUCGCCACCAAUCUUCAAAAUUCAGGCCAAACACAGUCUUAGGUCUGUCUCUUUUCAAAAAGUGCUCUAGCCUUUCAGAUCCCUGAGACCUCUUUCCACUCCUCUCCAUCUUAUUUCUUGGGCCAUCUCUUUAGAAAGAGACAAGGCAAGACCAGAGUGUUCUUAAGAUAGAAUAUGGCCAUGUUUGAAUUCCUAGAGACACAGAGGUGGAGGUGAGCAAUUCUUUAGCCUUUAAAGGGUAGUUGCUCAGAAGUGCUAAGUGAUAAUGACAAGCUUUGCCCAAUUUUUUCAAAUUCUUCCUGUCCUGUCAGACUUGAUUUAUCCAAUCAGAGAACCAUCAGGAUGAAAAGAUAUGGGAAGCUCCCCUUUGUCAGAGGCUACCAUAGAAUUUGAGACAGGAGGAGACUGUGGGAGAAGAAAAUAGUCUUAAGUGGGACCACUGACAAAUCCCUUGGAGCUGGGAGAGUUCAAGGUAGGAAAAAGAAGAUACCAGUUCAGGGUACAAGUUCUGGAGGUUUCUGCCUGGAAGAUGUCUACAAAGUCCAAGGGAAAACUGGGUCAGCAAAGAACUUGGCGAUAAUCCCUGUUCCACUCUUCUUGAGAAUUGAACAGAAAAACUAUAGAGACCAUCUAACUUGUAGUUCCUUUCCACUUUGACCAACGGAAUGACUAAAGCCAAUGCAAAGGCAGCAUGUACAUACACAACCAUGCAUGGAAAGUACUUUGGAAAAAGGACAAGAAGCCCUUCUGGACCCAGAAGGAACAGUUCUUAGGAUAGGAAGGGUUAAGAUGGGUCUGUGGCCACUGACCUGCCAGACUGUCCACUGAGCUUUCUGGGCCAUGUAUAUUCUUUCACCUUUCUACCCUGAGCUAAGCUAUCCUUUAUAUCACUCUCUCCAUUCAAAAUGGAUUGAUUGAAUUACCCAGGUCCCUGAUAGUGAUAGUGAAAACUCAUUAAUCCCAAACCUCCUCAUGCAUCACUUGGUUGCUUUGGGCACCAAGGGGGAGCUGUGCCUUAGACAACAAACCAGAUUAGAACUAAAGGGCCGGUGGAGAGGACUGUGGGGUAGAGAGGCAAUGAGCCCUGGUGGAAGGCCUGGAGUAGUGGGGGAAGGGGUGUCAGGCUGGCAGCACCUUUCUUCCCACUCCAUGUGGCAGAGAAGUGGAGAUGGCAGCAGAGGGAUUAGGGGAUGAAUUGGAAGCAUCUCAGGGCUAAGGCUAAAAUUGUUCUUCCUGGAAAAAUCCUGAGACCACCAAAGAACACUGCUAGAGUCAGAGAUGGUAAGAAGGCAGUCAACUAGCUGGGGUCCAUGACACCCACAACCAGCUGUAAAGGGGGACAUGGGAUGAAGAUGGAGCCCUCAGGCAACACCCACAAUUUUCAUGAAAAAUGCUCAUGUUAAAGCACUCUUAGGCUUGAGUAGAUGAUGCACUUGGAAAACGCAGGGAAAGAUUGGGUUUUCUUCACAUCUAAGAUUCAUUAGUAGUCCAUAA